UACGAAGGGGGCUAGCGUUGUUCGGAAUUACUGGGCGUAAAGCGCACGUAGGCGGAUUGUUAAGUCAGGGGUGAAAUCCUGGAGCUCAACUCCAGAACUGCCUUUGAUACUGGCAAUCUCGAGUCCGGAAGAGGUGAGUGGAACUCCUAGUGUAGAGGUGGAAUUCGUAGAUAUUAGGAAGAACACCAGUGGCGAAGGCGGCUCACUGGUCCGGUACUGACGCUGAGGUGCGAAAGCGUGGGGAGCAAACAGGG
rnacentral:rRNA from 1 species